AUGGCCUGCCUGGCCAGCGUGACCAUUGAACAAAUCGUCUCUCAAAACCCUCCCUCCUCCUCGCGGCAUGGAGCUAAUUUGACUCCUAAAGCCAGUAAGAGGGUUCCCUGGAUGGUCAAUAAGGGGAUGAUGCCAAUUAGUCUGGAUUCUGGAACAAUGCUAACAUUCAAAUCCUUGACGUGUUGGUGCAUCCGUGCUUUGAUAAAAAAACAAUUAGGUAUGCUUCUCAGUUCUCACUACCUCUGCGUGAAAACCAAAAUUACAAAUCAUUAUUUGUUAUUUCCAACUAUUUUUUGUGGCUGA
rnacentral:rRNA from 1 species